AUUGAACGCUGGCGGCAGGCCUAACACAUGCAAGUCGAGCGGCAGCGGGACCUUCGGGUUGCCGGCGAGCGGCGGACGGGUGAGUAAUGCCUAGGAAUCUGCCUGUUAGUGGGGGAUAACGCGGGGAAACUCGCGCUAAUACCGCAUACGUCCUACGGGAGAAAGCGGGGGCUCUUCGGACCUCGCGCUAACAGAUGAGCCUAGGUCGGAUUAGCUAGUUGGGGGGGUAAUGGCCCACCAAGGCGACGAUCCGUAACUGGUCGGAGAGGAUGAUCAGUCACACUGGAACUGAGACACGGUCCAGACUCCUACGGGAGGCAGCAGUGGGGAAUAUUGGACAAUGGGCGAAAGCCUGAUCCAGCCAUGCCGCGUGUGUGAAGAAGGUCUUCGGAUUGUAAAGCACUUUAAGUCGGGAGGAAGGGCUGUAGGCUAAUACCUUGCAGUUUUGACGUUACCGACAGAAUAAGCACCGGCUAACUUCGUGCCAGCCGCCGCCGUAA
rnacentral:rRNA from 1 species